AGUACAUUGACAACAUGGUGAACUGCAACAUCCUUUCGACCGUGAAGAUGACAGAAGCCAUCCUUCCUCAAAUGGUUGCCAGGAAGAAGGGGAUCAUAAUAAACAUCUCCUCUGGAAACGCCUGGAGACCCGUGCCCUGGACCGCGAUGUACUGCGCC